rnacentral:lncRNA from 1 species
AGUAGUAAUGAACCAAAUUGUGCUAUAGCCUCAACUUCUACUUCAUCUUCACUAAGCCUAAAGAAAAAGUUGCAACAAGAACACAUUUUUUCAGCUGGGAUUUUCUCAUUCAAGCCUAUAAAAAAACCAAAAUUUUGUGACAAAAAACAUAGUAUUCAUAACCUUAAGAAACAACAUAGUUAUGUGAAAAAUUUGGAACAAUCAAAAUUUUCAAGCAAAAAUAAAGUACCUAAUGAAGUUGAAGAUUUCUUCUUUUUUCCUCCAAACCCUUUUUUUCCACCACCUAUUAUCCCUAAUCCACUUCAACCUCCACCUUUGAUUCCUAACCCUUUGCAACCACCACCUUUGAUUCCAAAUCCAUUUCAACCACCAAGUCCACCCUUGAUUCCUAAUCCAUUUCAACCACCAAGUCCACCACUUAUUCCAAAUCCAUUUCAACCUCCUCCAUCAAAUCCACCACUUAUUCCUAAUCCAUUUCAACCUCCCCCAGCAAGUCCUCCACCACUCAUUCCAAAUCCAUUUCAGCCUCCACCAUCAAGUCCACCACCAUCAUUUCCUUUUCCACCAAUAGUAAUACCAGGUUUAACUCCAUCACCACCGCCGCCG